rnacentral:rRNA from 1 species
GGAAUAUUGGACAAUGGGCGCAAGCCUGAUCCAGCCAUGCCGCGUGUGUGAAGAAGGCUUUCGGGUUGUAAAGCACUUUAAGCUGGGAGGAAGGCCUUGAGGUUAAUACCCUUAAGGAUUGACGUUACCAGCAGAAUAAGCACCGGCUACCUCCGUGCCAGCAGCCGCGGUAAUACGGAGGGUGCGAGCGUUAAUCGGAAUUACUGGGCGUAAAGCGCGCGUAGGUGGUUUGUUAAGUUGGAUGUGAAAUCCCCGGGCUCAACCUGGGAACUGCAUCCGAUACUGGCAGACUAGAGUACAGUCGAGGGAAGUGGAAUUUCCGGUGUAGCGGUGAAAUGCGUAGAGAUCGGAAGGAACACCAGUGGCGAAGGCGACUUCCUGGACUGAUACUGACACUGAGGUGCGAAAGCGUGGGUAGCA